rnacentral:rRNA from 1 species
UACAGAGGGUGCAAGCGUUAAUCGGAAUUACUGGGCGUAAAGGGUGCGUAGGUGGUUAGAUAAGUUAGGUGUGAAAGUCCUGGGCUUAACCUGGGGAUUGCGCCUAAUACUGUUUAACUGGAGUACUGUAGAGGAAGGUGGAAUUUCCAGUGUAGCGGUGAAAUGCGUAGAUAUUGGAAGGAACAUCAGUGGCGAAGGCGGGUCUCUGGGCAACAACUGACGCUGAGGAGCGAAAGCGUGGGGAGCGAACAGG